rnacentral:rRNA from 1 species
UACGAAGGGGGCUAGCGUUGUUCGGAAUUACUGGGCGUAAAGCGCACGUAGGCGGGUUGUUAAGUCAGGGGUGAAAUCCUGGAGCUCAACUCCAGAACUGCCUUUGAUACUGGCAACCUAGAGACUGGAAGAGGUUAGUGGAAUUCCCAGUGUAGAGGUGAAAUUCGUAGAUAUUGGGAAGAACACCAGUGGCGAAGGAGGCUAACUGGUCCAGCACUGACGCUGAGGUGCGAAAGGCGUGGGGAGCAAACAGGG